CAGCGCCGCGGGAAAACGAAGGGGGCUAGCGUUGUUCGGAUUUACUGGGCGUAAAGGGUGCGUAGGCGGACUGAUAAGUCAGGGGUGAAAUCCCAAGGCUCAACCUUGGAACUGCCUUUGAUACUGUUAGUCUUGAGUUCGAGAGAGGUGAGUGGAACUGCGAGUGUAGAGGUGAAAUUCGUAGAUAUUCGCAAGAACACCAGUGGCGAAGGCGGCUCACUGGCUCGAAACUGACGCUGAGGCACGAAAGCGUGGGGAGCAAACAGGAUUAGAGACCCCUGUAGUCCCUGUCUCUUAUACA
rnacentral:rRNA from 1 species